rnacentral:rRNA from 1 species
CGGGGUGCACCAGGCGCGAAAACUUUACAAUGCUGGCAACAGCGAUAAGGGGACCUCGAGUGCCAGGAUACAAUCUUGGCUGUCGUGAUGCCUAAAAAGCAUUACAUAGCAAGGGCCGGGCAAGACCGGUGCCAGCCGCCGCGGUAACACCGGCGGCUCGAGUGGUAACCGCUAUUAUUGGGUCUAAAGGGUCUGUAGCCGGCCGGAUAAGUCUCUUGGGAAAUCCAGCAGCUCAACUGUUGGGCUUCCAGGGGAUACUGUUCGGCUCGAGGCCGGGAGAGGUGAGAGGUACUUCAGGGGUAGGGGUGAAAUCUUGUAAUCCUUGAAGGACCACCAGUAGCGAAGGCGUCUCACCAGAACGGUCCUGACGGCAAGGGACGAAAGCUAGGGGCACGAACCGGAUUAGAUACCCGGGUAGUCCUAGCCGUAAACGAUACUCGCUAGGUGUCAGCCACGGUGCGACCGUGGUUGGUGCCGUAGGGAAGCCGUGAAGCGAGCCACCUGGGAAGUACGGCCGCAAGGCUGAAACUUAAAGGAAUUGG